rnacentral:rRNA from 1 species
UACGUAGGGGCAAGCGUUGUCCGGAUUUAUUGGGCGUAAAGAGCGUGUAGGCGGCCAGGUAGGUCUGCUGUGAAACUCGAGGCUUAACCUCGAGCUGUCGGCGGAAACCAUCUGGCUAGAGUCCGGAAGAGGAGAAUGGAAGUUCCUGGUGUAGCGGUGAAAUGCGCAGAUAUCAGGAGGAACACCAUGGCGAAGGCGCU